ACAAGGAAAAGGCUUCUCUCUACCCUGCAGGUUCAAGGCCAGCCUGAGCUACAGGGAAUCAACUCAGAAUGGACCAAAGACAUUUUGUUUUCUGAGAUACAGUCCUACUACGUGACCCUGGCUGACCUAGAACUUGCUCUGUAAACCAGACUGGCCUCUAACUCAAGAAAUUCAUCUGCCUCUGUCCCUGGAGUGCUUGGAUAAAAGGUCACAUGCAUGGGCCACUACACCUGGUUUAAAACCCAAGACCUCAGGGCGACACUGACACUGGAAAUGCUGGGGGAAAGCUUUGAGAUGUCACCGCAAGCAAGAUGUGCCUAAGCAGGAGCCCUGUAUCUCCGGAAAGCAAAACGAGCAUCAAAGCACACGGCUGCCUAGUGCUUGUGACGUCACGAACUCAAUCCCAAGUCGCUCAAAAACAGGAGCCAGCUAGUGCAUGGGAGAUAUAGCACUCUUGGCUCCAGCACCACGUCUGCCUGCACGCUGCCAUGUUCCCUUG